GUACGUUUCAUAAUUUUUACUUACUUUAUUUGCUUUGAAAAUAACAGUCAUGCAUCUGCUAAGUCUUUGUAGAUGGUCAAAAUCAUUAUGAAUAAUUUUGUUUGUUUGUAAAUUGCUUUAAUUCCUUGUAAUUAAAGUGUAUAUAUGUAUAUACAUAUAUAGAGAACUGAUAUUGAACCUAAAGGGCGACACUGGGGGCAUAAAUAAUACUCCGAUAUCUGUGCCGUUUAUGUCGCCUCUUUUUUUUUAUAUUAAUCACGAGGUAUCCUGGGGAGGGCCCCAACUAUGGGAGGCACCUUUAAGCCCGUACCACAACCCAGACUAGAAGUCCCCGCUCGAACCGAGAGGCACAGGUUCUCCCAACAAAGGCGACUUCCCUGCGACUCGAACUGGGGAGCAAACCCAGUCAAGCCACUUAAGGGGACUCCAUUGCCAGUGGAGCCAACACUUUGUUGGUGUUUAUGUCGCCUCUUUGUCACCCUUUGAGCUCGAUAUCAUUAUUGACAUAUAUAAGCUCGUGGACACCCUUCGCUUAAUUAUUUAUAUUUUUCAUUUUUGUUUUCUGAUGAGAUCACAGAGUGU
rnacentral:lncRNA from 1 species